CACAAACUAAAGAAUAUAUUUAUCAUUAAGUUAAAUAUGGUCAAUACCAAAGUUAAAACCAAAAUUGUAAAAUCACUUCUCUAAACUCUGUAUGGUAAAAUAACUAACCGAUGGUAACAAAUAGUUUUACUUUUCCCUGUCUUUAUUUUAAUACACGGGGUACCAAUUUUACUUUUCACCGUCUAUAUUUUAAUCCACUAUUUCCUACAUAAGAAAAUGCAUGUACCAAAUUAGGAAUAUGACAGUUGUAUAUUUAUUUGUUUGAUGUGAAAAUAUUUUUUUUGAUUUUGUUAUUUUACUAAGAAUUGUACGUUUUAUAUAUCCCUUAGAGUUCGAUAAUUUUGUUAUUUUACUAUUUACUUAUGAAUUAUGAAUAAACUUUGUGUUUUGUCUUACAUAGUUUUAUUAUACAAAUACAGUUUUUCUGUUUCAUGUUUUAAAGGAUGUACUUAGGUGAGGUUUUGGAAAUUGGUUAAAAUGAUUCGGACUUCUCGGUAUUUUUCCACCAAUACAGGGUAAAAUAUUUUGCCCAAUAACACCCAUUUAUCUUUGUAUAAAAGACUUCAAUAGCUCAUAAAAGUUCAUUUUCCAAAAUUUAAGAAAUUUCUGAAUUUUUGUACUUUUGAUUUGAGACCCAAAUAAUACCAAUGCAAUUGUAAGAUAAAAGUCCGAGUUAGCCUUUUACCGCUUUUUUUUUAGAUAAAAUAUCUCGAAAAGGAGGUCCAUGACCUAUCAAUAUUUUAUGCAUAUUUUGUUCCUUAACUGGUGCUCUUUCAAAAUGUAGUAUCAAUUUUAAGUUCUUGAAUUUUAAGUUUCACCUAAGUACAUCCUUAACUCAGAGUAAAGAUGUUAUAGCUGCCGACCUUAAAUGGUUCUUCUUUCAUUAUGUGCUCAUCAGAAAGAAAUAAAAGCUAUGUUUUAUGAAAUCUUUUAGCUCUUUAUUGAAAAAGAUUAAGUCUUUAAAUGACCAAAGAAUGUAUGAAUUUCAGGGGCUAAAAAACAUAACAAUAAAAAUCUAUAAAUAACAUUUGAUAUUUAAGACAAAGAAAAUAAUAUAAUGAGUUUCUUUUGUUGUGGGUACUUUCAUAAGAAAUUAAAACAUAUAUUAAAACAGGCCACAUGAAACUGUCAAACAUGAAACAGCUGUUUUGAAUGUCUUUAAUUGAAAAUGAAUGAUUGAUUGAUCGAUUGUUAGUGUUCAGGGCCACUUGAAGCACUACUAGCUUUAUCACGACGGCAUUUUUUUUUUAUUAAUUGGAAAAACCGGAAUCUGCUUAGAGUACCAACGAUCUUGAGCAGAAAAAAAAUUACACUUCUAUUCAAUUAUUUAUUAUUAUACCCAUGUGCAGUGUUCGAACUCCCAACGGGUUAACCAAAAAAUAAAUAUAACAGUAAAGUUUCUAUUAGUAAGAACUCAUAUUACUCCAAAUAACCCUUUGAUCAAAAUGAACAUACAGAUACUAGCAGGAAAACAUUGGUGUAAGGAUAUCCAUAUGUGUGCAUGGAGUUUUUUUUUCGUCGGCAUUUUACAAUUGUUACACUUUAUUACACAAGUUACAAUGUUUUGCACAUACAUGUAUUACAAUGUUUUAUAUGAUGUGACAAUGUAUAACUCAUGUUAAUAUAUAUUUCUCAUGUAUAACAAUAUUGAGGACAUGUUAUAAUGUAAAACAGGAAUAACACAUAUUACAUUGUGUAGUACAUGUUACAGUGUUAA
rnacentral:lncRNA from 1 species